CCUCCAUCGUCGCCAUGUUUGUUAUCGUCUGAAACUGAUGGCAGAACUUGGAGGUCAACUCUGAGCUCUGCACCGCUCUCUAAUGGAUGUUUUACCUCCAAC